AUGAACGCUAGCUACAGGCUUAACACAUGCAAGUCGAGGGGCAGCAUGGUCUUAGCUUGCUAAGACUGAUGGCGACCGGCGCACGGGUGAGUAACACGUAUCCAACCUGCCGUCUACUCUUGGACAGCCUUCUGAAAGGAAGAUUAAUACAAGAUGGCAUCAUGAGUCCGCAUGUUCACAUGAUUAAAGGUAUUCCGGUAGACGAUGGGGAUGCGUUCCAUUAGAUAGUAGGCGGGGUAACGGCCCACCUAGUCUUCGAUGGAUAGGGGUUCUGAGAGGAAGGUCCCCCACAUUGGAACUGAGACACGGUCCAAACUCCUACGGGAGGCAGCAGUGAGGAAUAUUGGUCAAUGGGCGAGAGCCUGAACCAGCCAAGUAGCGUGAAGGAUGACUGCCCUAUGGGUUGUAAACUUCUUUUAUAAAGGAAUAAAGUCGGGUAUGCAUACCCGUUUGCAUGUACUUUAUGAAUAAGGAUCGGCUAACUCCGUGCCAGCAGCCGCGGUAAUACGGAGGAUCCGAGCGUUAUCCGGAUUUAUUGGGUUUAAAGGGAGCGUAGAUGGAUGUUUAAGUCAGUUGUGAAAGUUUGCGGCUCAACCGUAAAAUUGCAGUUGAUACUGGAUAUCUUGAGUGCAGUUGAGGCAGGCGGAAUUCGUGGUGUAGCGGUGAAAUGCUUAGAUAUCACGAAGAACUCCGAUUGCGAAGGCAGCCUGCUAAGCUGCAACUGACAUUGAGGCUCGAAAGUGUGGGUAUCAAACAGGAUUAGAUACCCUGGUAGUCCACACGGUAAACGAUGAAUACUCGCUGUUUGCGAUAUACGGCAAGCGGCCAAGCGAAAGCGUUAAGUAUUCCACCUGGGGAGUACGCCGGCAACGGUGAAACUCAAAGGAAUUGACGGGGGCCCGCACAAGCGGAGGAACAUGUGGUUUAAUUCGAUGAUACGCGAGGAACCUUACCCGGGCUUAAAUUGCAGAUGAAUUACGGUGAAAGCCGUAAGCCGCAAGGCAUCUGUGAAGGUGCUGCAUGGUUGUCGUCAGCUCGUGCCGUGAGGUGUCGGCUUAAGUGCCAUAACGAGCGCAACCCUUGUUGUCAGUUACUAACAGGUUCCGCUGAGGACUCUGACAAGACUGCCAUCGUAAGAUGUGAGGAAGGUGGGGAUGACGUCAAAUCAGCACGGCCCUUACGUCCGGGGCUACACACGUGUUACAAUGGGGGGGGUACAGAGGGCCGCUACCACGCGAGUGGAUGCCAAUCCCAAAAACCUCUCUCAGUUCGGACUGGAGUCUGCAACCCGACUCCACGAAGCUGGAUUCGCUAGUAAUCGCGCAUCAGCCACGGCGCGGUGAAUACGUUCCCGGGCCUUGUACACACCGCCCGUCAAGCCAUGGGAGCCGGGGGUACCUGAAGUGCGUAACCGCGAGGAGCGCCCUAGGGUAAAACUGGUGACUGGGGCU
rnacentral:rRNA from 1 species